rnacentral:sRNA from 1 species
CAUUGGAUUUGCAUCCAAUGCUGUUCUAGGUAGUCCCUUCGGGACU